AUUACUCAAUGGACUACGAAGGAGACUUUACAAUUAAUAACAAAUCUCAAGACAGACAGUGUAUAUUUAAAUUGAACAUCAUUGGAAAUGGGCUGGACUCCGGCCUAAUAGGCGUUCCUGAUGCUCAUUACGUGAUGUAGACAAAGAGGCCGCAGCUAUCAUGAAAGACUCAAUCGUGAAAGGGCAACAGGAUUUACCAAUUAUUCAUAGAUAGCCAAAAAUUGUGUCACUCAUCAAGAUUCCUGCAAAAUUAUGCAAUUAUGGAUAUGAAAUUAAUUAAAAUGUAGUUUACAUUUUAUUUUUUAAAAGUUUUCCUCGGCAAUAAUCUCAAACAUAAUGUUAGCAAUAUGUAGAAAUUAUUGUAGGCUUUGUUUAUUAAUAUUGAAUUAUUACUGCUAAUGUUUGUCUUAAUAAUAGAGAAAGUAUCCCGUUUGUUGUAAAGAAUAUAGACAUGUAAGAUAAUAGGAUAUAACAUUUUGAGGAUUAAAAUCAGACUUAUUGAUUUUUGCCGGAUGUACAUGAUAUAGCCCUACAUUAUAUAGAUAUAAAAUGUAUAUAUAUAUAUAUAUAUAUAUAUAUAUAUAUAUCACAACUUGAUUUCAAUGCUUGAAAAUAAAUAUCAAAUGGAAUUGUG